CCUGGCGGCCGUAGCGCGGUGGUCCCACCUGACCCCAUGCCGAACUCAGAAGUGAAACGCCGUAGCGCCGAUGGUAGUGUGGGGUCUCCCCAUGUGAGAGUAGGGAACCGCCAGGU
rfam:Morganella morganii subsp. morganii KT, complete genome.